rnacentral:lncRNA from 1 species
CGUAACUGCUUCAGAAAUGACCGCUCGUCAUUCGUGACCAACUCGUGUUAUUCCGGGACAAGCAAGUCUACCCAUAAUUCCCUGUAUGGCCGAGGGCGCCAUUUUGGAACACAAAUGUAAACAAAACAAACCUCGUGUAAUCCGUGAUGCUUGAUUGCGAUAUGCCUACCUCGUGUAUCGAUACAUUGUUCUCAAUCACCUCUAACACGGAAAUCCCGGUCUAAAUCCAUCGGAGCCAUUCACAACGAGGACGUCAAGUAUUUCGAAAAUUCGAUUGACAGCCGAAGGAAGAGCAGCUUGCGGAUGCCAGCAUGUUCAGGGUUUGUGGGGAGGUUCACAGACAUCCUCAGGGAGGAUACAAAGUAAUGAAAUGUCCGGAUGAAUAAAAGAGACAGUCACCUGUGCAGCAUCAAUGCAAAGAAAGACCAUAGAAGAGAAGCAAUGAGGAACAAGAGAAGAGCAACAAAACUGAAGUCCUGCUUGAGGUCCCUGGAUGAGUACUCCAGGUGGACAAUCUGGAAGGACCAGACAAGGGAGUACUUAACAGAGUGUGCACCCCUUAAGAUAUCAGAGGUGAUUUGCAGACAGGGAUGACGAGGGUCCUGUUAUUUCAAUGGAGGCCGACCGAGAAGUUGUAUGCCAAAUGGUACUGGGACACACAAAGGCUGGUCUUGCUAAUGUGAGAAGACCAAGGAAUGCCAAGCUGGAGUGGGAUUCUUCCAGGACAUGCAGGAAAUUCUUGUCUUGAGCCAUGUGGUAAACACUUGAAAGGAAUGAUAAAUGGGACUUAUUGUCUUUCAAUGUGGACCCAAACACCAAAUGGAAAGUUCACAAUUCUACUAACACAAUGCGGCAGAGAUAGUCCAACUGGCAUACCCUCAUCCUGGUUCCUGUUCAUCCAUGGCAAUAUAGAAAGAAAAGGAGGAUUGAGGGAAAGUAAGUUCUCUGAACUGGUGAACAUUAUCCGUAGGUACUGUCAAGCGAACAGUUAUCACACUCUGUUAUGAGUUUUGAAGAAUAGGAUGAAAUUGCAUACUGCAUCAGGAACCAUCACGUGAACACUGUUCAAUGUGCGAUAUACUAUAGGCAUAUGAAUAAAAGAA